GGCAGCUUUUACUAUAAUGAUGAUAAAAAAAAAUGAUAAUUGCCUUUUUUGGGAGACUUUCCCAAACGUUUUUGUGGAAGAGUGAUAGAACUAAUUUGGGAGUCUUCACACCAUGUGCUAUAUAUUGAAAUGCGUUUCCAUUUCCAUGCACUUAGCUAGUCAGGGGUGGUGGAAUUAAUGUUGUAGAAGAAAGUAUACUAAAUAUUACUCUAUGAGAAAAAAAUAAUGCUAUGUUUAUUUAUGUAGGUAAAUUUUAUUAUAUGAUUCUUACCGGCAAAUAUUAUUUGGGGGACGUCCCAAAAGAAUAAGUUAUUUGGGGGACGUCCCAAAACAAAAAUAUAGAAAGUUAUUUGAGGGACCGACAGAGUAUAUAAUGGUUUCCGUGAUUGGUGUGGCUGGGUUAGAGGGGUGUUUUCAUGUAAAUGCAUGGAUGCAUCGUGUUUGCUUUUGAAGUCGAGCUUUUAAAAAUUAUCACUGUGCGGAUGUAUUGAGGCUGAUUCUACAAAGCCGGACUAAAAUUGUGUUGUGGCGUUUUUUCGCUACGUGGAACCGAGCUCGAGGGUAUUGAUAUAGUUAUUUCUCAUAUUUUCAGGGAAGGCAACGAAUAUCGUGGCGAUGGCGAGCCCUCACACGCCGAAAGGUCGGCGAUCCCGAUUAUUUCUACGGCGGUAUCUAGAGAUUUAUCUAUACAUAGUCAUGUUCGUCAAAAAUGGUGAACUUGGGCCGGUUUCAUUUUUUGCAUUGCAUGGCAAUUUCUUUUCUUGUUCUAAUUCUUAAUGAUCAUUUGUUGGUUGUGUUCUUUGUUAUGUGCAUCUGUGAUAAUUACU
rnacentral:lncRNA from 1 species